rnacentral:rRNA from 1 species
CAACAGGGAUUGCCUUAGUAACGGCGAGUGAAGCGGCAAUAGCUCAAAUUUGAAAGCUGGCCCCUUCGGGGUCCGCGUUGUAAUUUGUAGAGGAUGGUUCGGCGAGGGCUCCCGUCUAAGUCCCUUGGAACAGGGCGUCAUAGAGGGUGAGAAUCCCGUAUGUGAUGGGCUGCCUUAGCCAUGUGAACCUCCUUCGACGAGUCGAGUUGUUUGGGAAUGCAGCUCUAAAUGGGAGGUAAAUUUCUUCUAAAGCUAAAUACCGGCCAGAGACCGAUAGCGCACAAGUAGAGUGAUCGAAAGAUGAAAAGCACUUUGGAAAGAGAGUUAAAAAGUACGUGAAAUUGUUGAAAGGGAAGCGCUUGCAGCCAGACUUGUCCGCAGUUGCUCAGCCUGUCUCCUGACAGGCGCACUCUUCUGCGGCCAGGCCAGCAUCAGUUCGGGCGGUCGGAUAAAGACCCGGGGAAUGUAGCUCCUCUCGGGGAGUGUUAUAGCCCUGGGUGCAAUGCGGCCAGCCUGGACUGAGGAUCUCGCUUCGGCUAGGAUGCUGGCGUAAUGGCUGUAAGCGGCCCGUCUUGAAACACGGACCAAGGAGUCUAACAUCUAUGCGAGUGUUUGGGUGUCAAACCCAUGCGCGUAAUGAAAGUGAACGGAGGUGGGAACCCUCACGGGUGCACCAUCGACCGAUCCUGAUGUCUUCGGAUGGAUUUGAGUAAGAGCAUAGCUGUUGGGACCCGAAAGAUGGUGAACUAUGCCUGAAUAGGGUGAAGCCAGAGGAAACUCUGGUGGAGGCUCGCAGCGGUUCUGACGUGCAAAUCGAUCGUCAAAUUUGGGUAUAGGGGCGAAAGACUAAUCGAACCAUCUAGUAGCUGGU